UACGGAGGGUGCUAGCGUUGUUCGGAAUCACUGGGCGUAAAGCGCGUGUAGGCGGCGCGUCAAGUCGGGUGUGAAACCCCGGGGCUCAACCCCCGGGCGGCCGCCCGAAACUGGCGCGCUUGAGGACGGAAGAGGGGAGUGGAAGUUCCUGGUGUAGCGGUGAAAUGCGUAGAGAUCAGGAGGAACACCCGUGGCGAAGGCGGCUCCCUGGUCCGUCCCUGACGCUGAGACGCGAAAGCGCGGGGAGCGAACGGGG
rnacentral:rRNA from 1 species